AGCUAACCUCACAGACUGAAAGAGGGAGCUGUGGGAAGAUUGUGGGCUGCUGGAGUUUUCUCCCUGCGGAGCUGAUCCUGUUGGGAGCUGUUCUUGGCAGUGUUCAGGGGAUGCAGGUGAGGUUGUCCCAUGCUCACUUGUUGAGGAUGGACAGCUGCACAAAUACAAAUUCCAGCCAGGGCCUUUGGGGAAACCCACAGCCAGUCACAGCUUGAGAUCUUCCCUUCAUCCCAGCUUCCCUGGAGCUGCCAUGCCGUUCCAUUCCAAGUUCAAUAUGAAGAUGCUGAAAAUCCUUUUGAGGCUGAUACCCUCAUUCUGCUGCAGAGAGCCUGGUCUAUGUGUCAGACGUCCCUGUACAUCCAGAGAGGCAGCAGCAUGUGCCCCAGACUUGUGCCUGGUUUUUAGGAGUGGGAGGUUGGCUGCCCUUUCCUACAGAUGGCUCAUCAGAAGACUUUCUCGGGGUACUCACUUCCACGAGGAGGAAGCAUACAAAAGCAGAUGAGAUAAAAACAGCGAAGCUGAAGGUCAGUUUUUGAACUAGGUUGGUUUUUACUGCUGUGAGCCAGUACUGAGCAACGAAUUGCCAUCGUGUUUGUG
rnacentral:lncRNA from 1 species